rnacentral:rRNA from 1 species
CCUACGGGAGGCAGCAGUGGGGAAUAUUGCACAAUGGGGGAAACCCUGAUGCAGCAACGCCGCGUGAGUGAAGAAGGAUUUCGGUAUGUAAAGCCCUAUCAGCCGGGAAGCAGAAAGACGGUACCUGACUAAGACGCCCCGGCGAACUACGUGCCAGCAGCCGCGGUAAUACGGAGGGGGCAAGCGUUAUCCGGAUUUACUGGGUGUAAAGGGAGGUUAGACGGCUGUGCAAGUCUGAAGUGAAAGCCCGUGGCUCAACCGCGGAACUGCUUUGGAAACUGUAUAGCUUGAGUACUGGAGAGGCAGGCGGAAUGCCUGGUGUAGCGGUGAAAUGCGUAGAUAUUAGGAGGAACACC